CGGAGGCUUCUCCUCCACUCAGAACAGCCUUCUGUGCAUCAACUACACGUAACAGCCUGUAAAUAACAGCUCAGCUGCAGUCUAUUUGUGCACCUACAACAUCCCAACACCUGCUGAUGUCCCCACUCUCAGUGUGAAAGUCCACACAGAGGUGGAGCCCACAGUUAUCAAAGGACACACCAUCAACCACAGAGAUCAUCCAGGAGCUCCCAGUG